rnacentral:rRNA from 1 species
CACGUGGGGGGCGAGCGUUGUCCGGAUUUAUUGGGCGUAAAGAGCUCGUAGGCGGUUUGGCAAGUCGGGUGUGAAAUUUCGAGGCUCAACCUCGAAACGCCACUCGAUACUGCCAUGACUGGAGUCCGGUAGAGGAGUGCGGAAUUCCUGGUGUAGCGGUGAAAUGCGCAGAUAUCAGGAGGAACACCAACGGCGAAGGCAGCACUCUGGGCCGGUACUGACGCUGAGGAGCGAAAGCGUGGGGAGCAAACAGG